GACGAACGCUGGCGGCGUGCUUAACACAUGCAAGUCGAACGGAAAGGCCCUGCUUUUGUGGGGUGCUCGAGUGGCGAACGGGUGAGUAACACGUGAGUAACCUGCCCUUGACUUUGGGAUAACUUCAGGAAACUGGGGCUAAUACCGGAUAGGAGCUCCUGCUGCAUGGUGGGGGUUGGAAAGUUUCGGCGGUUGGGGAUGGACUCGCGGCUUAUCAGCUUGUUGGUGGGGUAGUGGCUUACCAAGGCUUUGACGGGUAGCCGGCCUGAGAGGGUGACCGGCCACAUUGGGACUGAGAUACGGCCCAGACUCCUACGGGAGGCAGCAGUGGGGAAUAUUGCACAAUGGGCGGAAGCCUGAUGCAGCAACGCCGCGUGCGGGAUGACGGCCUUCGGGUUGUAAACCGCUUUCGCCUGUGACGAAGCGUGAGUGACGGUAAUGGGUAAAGAAGCACCGGCUAACUACGUGCCAGCAGCCGCGGUGAUACGUAGGGUGCGAGCGUUGUCCGGAUUUAUUGGGCGUAAAGGGCUCGUAGGUGGUUGAUCGCGUCGGAAGUGUAAUCUUGGGGCUUAACCCUGAGCGUGCUUUCGAUACGGGUUGACUUGAGGAAGGUAGGGGAGAAUGGAAUUCCUGGUGGAGCGGUGGAAUGCGCAGAUAUCAGGAGGAACACCAGUGGCGAAGGCGGUUCUCUGGGCCUUUCCUGACGCUGAGGAGCGAAAGCGUGGGGAGCGAACAGGCUUAUAUACCCUGGUAGUCCACGCUGUAAACGGUGGGUACUAGGUGUGGGGUCCAUUCCACGGGUUCCGUGCCGUAGCUAACGCUUUAAGUACCCCGCCUGGGGAGUACGGCCGCAAGGCUAAAACUCAAAGGAAUUGACGGGGCCCCGCACAAGCGGCGGAGCAUGCGGAUUAAUUCGAUGCAACGCGUAGAACCUUACCUGGGUUUGACAUGGAUCGGGAGUGCUCAGAGAUGGGUGUGCCUCUUUUGGGGUCGGUUCACAGGUGGUGCAUGGCUGUCGUCAGCUCGUGUCGUGAGAUGUUGGGUUAAGUCCCGCAACGAGCGCAACCCUUGUUCACUGUUGCCAGCACGUUAUGGUGGGGACUCAGUGGAGACCGCCGGGGUCAACUCGGAGGAAGGUGGGGAUGACGUCAAGUCAUCAUGCCCCUAAUGUCCAGGGCUUCACGCAUGCUACAAUGGCUGGUACAGAGAGUGGCGAGCCUGUGAGGGUGAGCGAAUCUCGGAAAGCCGGUCUCAGUUCGGAUUGGGGUCUGCAACUCGACCUCAUGAAGUCGGAGUCGCUAGUAAUCGCAGAUCAGCAACGCUGCGGUGAGUACGUUCCCGGGGCU
rnacentral:rRNA from 1 species